rnacentral:tRNA from 1 species
GUCUCUGUGGUGCAGCCGAUUAACGCAUUCGGCUGUUAACCGAAAGGUUGCUGGUUCGAGCCCACCCAGGGAUG